rnacentral:rRNA from 1 species
GACGAACGCUGGCGGCGUGCUUAACACAUGCCAGUCGAACGGAAAGGCCCUGCUUUUGUGGGGUGCUCGAGUGGCGAACGGGUGAGUAACACGUGAGUAACCUGCCCUUGACUUUGGGAUAACUUCAGGAAACUGGGGCUAAUACCGGAUAGGAGCUCCUGCCGCAUGGUGGGGGUUGGAAAGUUUCGGCGGUUGGGGAUGGACUCGCGGCUUAUCAGCUUGUUGGUGGGGUAGUGGCUUACCAAGGCUUUGACGGGUAGCCGGCCUGAGAGGGUGACCGGCCACAUUGGGACUGAGAUACGACCCGGACUCCUACGGGAGGCAGCAGUGGGGAAUAUUGCACAAUGGGCGGAAGCCUGAUGCAGCAACGCCGCGUGCGGGAUGACGGCCUUCGGGUUGUAAACCGCUUUCGCCUGUGACGAAGCGUGAGUGACGGUAAUGGGUAAAGAAGCACCGGCUAACUACGUG